rnacentral:lncRNA from 1 species
AUAUAUCCAAGUUGUAUAGUACGUAGUAGUGACUGGUGAAGAGAGAAUGGUGGGUGCAGUACUGCAGGAGCCUGCGUGGUAAGUAGGAGAAAUGGAGUGCAGUUUGAUUGAAUAUAAUGCUACCUACGGACUACGUGUGCGAAUUUGUACCAACAGAAAGCCCGUGGUAAGUGAAAGUGGGAACCUUCUUCUUUAGAAACAGUCAACAACCACAAUGAAGUCAAGUGUGACAUUAAUGUUAUGUUAUACACUUAUAAUACAAAGUACGCAUGCAUGCAUUCAUUCUACUAUAUUGUAGCGGAUCCUGUAAAUUAUGAUUAUUCGUACAAGUUCUACUUUUAAAAUUAACAAAUUAAGAUUCAUGUUAUAUUUAGAUAUUAUUUUUUAAAAAAAUAAAAUUUUAUAUGAUAAUUUUUACUCUUUAGAAUUUAAUAUAUAUUAAGAAAAUCUAAAUAUUUUCAAUACAAAUUUUAAUAUUUAAAAAAACUAAUAGAAAAUUACUAAAGAUAAUAAUAAUAAUAAUAAUAAUAAUAAUAAUAAUAAAAAGAGUCAGUCCAUGCAUGGUAUCCCACAUAGUCAGGCACUUAAUUCGGAUUAGUUGGCUUUUCUCUGUUGAAUUUGAGUAAUGCUACGCGGACAGGCGAAUGACAGAAAAAUUGGACAGAUUGUAUAUGUAUUUAAAUUACAUUUAAAACAUUAUAUUUUAUAAAAAUUUCUGUUAGAAUAAAUACUAUAUAUUUUUUGAGAGUCACAAAUAAAAAAAAUAAAAUAAAUAAAUAGACCGGUCCAAUUCCCCUGUCCCAUUCCCCUGUCCGGCAAGACUUAUUGUUUAUUAAAACCAUUCCGAUGGAGUAUUUUCCAAUAAGAAUAAGUCUAGCCGGACAGGAUAAAUGGACAGGAUUAUUGGACAAUUUUAUU